rnacentral:rRNA from 1 species
GCCAGCAGCCAUAUCACUCUGUAGCUCACAACUGGCAACCCACUUGAGCUCAGCAGGUGUGGGCCUAGUCAGUACCUGGAUGGGAGACCUCCUGGGAAAAACUAAGGUUGCUGCUGGGA